GGUGGCAGUGCCAAGGGGACGGAGAAUCCCUUCGAGUAUGACUAUGAAACCGUCCGCAAAGGAGGCCUGAUCUUCGCGGGCCUUGCCUUCGUCGUGGGACUCCUCAUUCUCCUCAAGGAAACAUGGAUCCCAAGCCCCACCCUGUGGUGCUGCUGGAGGAGGGAGGUAAACCCGGAAGAACUGGCUCUCCCAGGGUCUCCUUAGGAAAUGCAACAAAGUUUACCCUCUCUUUUUCAAGGCAAAAGAUUCCGCUGUGGGGGCAGUAAGAAGCAUAGGCAGGUCAAUGAAGAUGAGCUGUGACGGAAGAGCCGGCAGUGCCACCGGUGCAUGGGCACCAGUGAUGCCCACCUUCCCCAGCCAGGCACCACGGACCCCACCAUGGUCAGCACUGGCUGAAGGAAGUGCCAGGCUUACUGGGACCCCCUCAUGGUCAUCCCUCAUGCCUCUAGAUCGUUAACUUCCUCUCUCCCCUCCCCAACCUCUCUUACACCCAACUCCCUAUUCCAAGUUGGGGUACAUGUGCAAUCUCAUUGCCCUGGUUUUCAAUGAAUCGCUCUACAAGAAUCUGCCAAC
rnacentral:lncRNA from 1 species